CCUUCCGUCCCUUUAUUACACUACGAAUCGAUAAUUGCGUUGUGCUCAUUGAGCAGAGAGAGAGAGGCGCUCUCGAAAAACGUCUUCACCGCUCCAGUUGGUCGAACCGCGGUCGGAUCGAGUGAAGACGGACCAGCUGUCGACCGCUUUUUGCCUCUACCUCACUCAAUCUCUCUUCACACUGUUUUUGCGCGCACAUUG
ensembl:ncRNA C14F11.32 ncRNA